AUUGAACGCUGGCGGCAGGCCUAACACAUGCAAGUCGAAUGGUAACAGGAAACAGCUUGCUGUUUCGCUGACGAGUGGCGGACGGGUGAGUAAUGUCUGGGAAACUGCCUGAUGGAGGGGGAUAACUACUGGAAACGGUAGCUAAUACCGCAUAACGUCGCAAGACCAAAGAGGGGGACCUUCGGGCCUCUUGCCAUCAGAUGUGCCCAGAUGGGAUUAGCUAGUAGGUGGGGUAACGGCUCACCUAGGCGACGAUCCCUAGCUGGUCUGAGAGGAUGGCCAGCCACACUGGAACUGAGACACGGCCCAGACUCCUACGGGAGGCAGCAGUGGGGAAUAUUGCACAAUGGGCGCAAGCCUGAUGCAGCCAUGCCGCGUGUAUGAAGAAGGCCUUCGGGUUGUAAAGUACUUUCAGCGGGGAGGAAGGGAGUAAAGUUAAUACCUUUGCUCAUUGACGUUACCCGCAGAAGAAGCACCGGCUAACUCCGUG
rnacentral:rRNA from 1 species